UACGUAGGGUGCGAGCGUUUGUCCGGAAUUAUUGGGCGUAAAGAGCUCGUAGGCGGUCUGUCGCGUCGAAUGUGAAAACCCGGGGCUCAACUCCGGGCUUGCAUUCGAUACGGGCAGGCUAGAGUUCGGUAGGGGAGUCUGGAAUUCCUGGUGUAGCGGUGAAAUGCGCAGAUAUCAGGAGGAACACCGGUGGCGAAGGCGGGUCUCUGGGCCGAUACUGACGCUGAGGAGCGAAAGCAUGGGUAGCGAACAGG
rnacentral:rRNA from 1 species